rnacentral:lncRNA from 1 species
UAGGUUUUGAAAUUGGUUGGGUUAUAGGAAUUAGUUCGAUAGAAAACUCUAUCACUCGGGGGGUAGGUAUACUAGGUAAUUUGACUAGAAAAACCUUCAGAAAGUUGCAAACGAUGGGAAUGGAAUACACAGCAGGAUCAGCAUCCAUAUUACUAUUUAUUCAAUUGUUAGGAAAAAAAUAGAUUUUAUUUCUUUUUUACAGUUCGCAAGGUUACAAAUUUACUUUCACAAUCAAUAAUUGCC